rnacentral:rRNA from 1 species
GAUGAACGCUGGCGGCGUGCCUAAUACAUGCAAGUCGAGCGAACGGACGAGAAGCUUGCUUCUCUGAUGUUAGCGGCGGACGGGUGAGUAACACGUGGAUAACCUACCUAUAAGACUGGGAUAACUUCGGGAAACCGUAGCUAAUACCGGAUAAUAUUUUGAACCGCAUGGUUCAAAAGUGAAAGACGGUCUUGCUGUCACUUAUAGAUGGAUCCGCGCUGCAUUAGCUAGUUGGUAAGGUAACGGCUUACCAAGGCAACGAUGCAUAGCCGACCUGAGAGGGUGAUCGGCCACACUGGAACUGAGACACGGUCCAGACUCCUACGGGAGGCAGCAGUAGGGAAUCUUCCGCAAUGGGCGAAAGCCUGACGGAGCAACGCCGCGUGAGUGAUGAAGGUCUUCGGAUCGUAAAACUCUGUUAUUAGUGAAGAACAUAUGUGUAAGUAACUGUGCACAUCUUGACGGUACCUAAUCAUAAAGCCACGGCUAACUACGUG